GCCGAAAUAGCUCUCAGUUGGGAGAGCGUUAGACUGAAGAUCUAAAGGUCCCUGGUUCGAUCCCGGGUUUCGGCA